AGGACGAACGCUGGCGGCGUGCUUAACACAUGCAAGUCGAGCGGAAAGGCCCUUCGGGGUACUCGAGCGGCGAACGGGUGAGUAACACGUGAGCAACCUGCCCUUAGCUCCGGGAUAGCUCCGGGAAACCGGAAUUAAUACCGGAUACGACCACAGCCGACAUCUGCUGUGGUGGAAAGGAUUCCGGCUAAGGAUGGGCUCGCGGCCUAUCAGCUAGUUGGUGGAGUAACGGCCUACCAAGGCGACGACGGGUA
rnacentral:rRNA from 1 species